GGGUCCGGACACACUGAGGAUUGACAGAUAUACGCUCAUUGCAGUUCGCUGCAUGAGCUGAAAGAUGCUAGUUCUUUCAUGAUUAUGUGAUAGGUGGUGCAUGGCCGUUCUUAGUUCGUGGAGUGAUCUGUCUGCUUAAUUGCGUAUCAAUAAUAGAGACCUAGUAUACGCGUGGAUUUCGCGUGGUAGUGACCCCCUGUUUAACGACAGGCGUGUGUCGCACACGCGUACCUACGCACUGGUCUCAGAUAGCAACGAACGUGACCGUAUUCUAUUGUUGCAGUGAAAUGUGCCUUCGGGUACGACCCACUGCUUAGUAUAUGUACGUGCUUCGGCGCGAACAAUAUACAUUAAACUAUAGAGACCGCUGUUUCUUCUUUAAACCAGAGGAAGGAUACGGCAAUAACAGGUCUGUGAUGCCCUCAGAUGUUCCGGGCUGCACACGUGCUACAAUGAUCAUUGCACUGUGCAUCUAACCCAAUGUGCGCGGACGCCGCAUGCAUGUGCCUUCGGGUACACGCAUUGCUGAGCGACCGCGCCGAACCUACUUCGAAAGUAAAAUUUCUCAGUGGGU
rnacentral:rRNA from 1 species